GAUGAACGCUGGCGGCGUGCCUAAUACAUGCAAGUCGAGCGAACGGACGAGAAGCUUGCUUCUCUGAUGUUAGCGGCGGACGGGUGAGUAACACGUGGAUAACCUACCUAUAAGACUGGGGUAACUUCGGGAAACCGGAGCUAAUACCGGAUAAUAUUUUGAACCGCAUGGUUCAAAAGUGAAAGACGGUCUUGCUGUCACUUAUAGAUGGAUCCGCGCUGCAUUAGCUAGUUGGUAAGGUAACGGCUUACCAAGGCAACGAUGCAUAGCCGACCUGAGAGGGUGAUCGGCCACACUGGAACUGAGACACGGUCCAGACUCCUACGGGAGGCAGCAGUAGGGAAUCUUCCGCAAUGGGCGAAAGCCUGACGGAGCAACGCCGCGUGGGUGAUGAAGGUCUUCGGAUCGUAAAACUCUGUUAUGAGGGAAGAACAUAUGUGUAAGUAACUGUGCACAUCUUGACGGUACCUAAUCAGAAAGCCACGGCUAACUACGUG
rnacentral:rRNA from 1 species